AGUCUAAUUGAAUAUAAUUUAAUUAAAUUUAGUUUGGGCUUGAUUGGAUCAAGUCUAAUUGAUUUAUUGGAUAAGCCAAGAGCAAGGGAAAACUAGUCCUUGUUUAAUUAGGACUUGGGUCAACCUAAUUUCUAAUUUGAUUAGAAAAUUAAAAUAGAUUUAAAUCUAAUUUAAUCUUAUUAAAUUAGAUUUUUAAUUGGGUUA
rnacentral:lncRNA from 1 species